CCUACGGGUGGCAGCAGUGGGGAAUAUUGGGCAAUGGGCGCAAGCCUGACCCAGCAACGCCGCGUGAAGGAAGAAGGCCCUCGGGUUGUAAACUUCUUUUGUCAGGGACAAAAGAUGACGGUACCCACAGAGGAAGCACCGGCUAACUCCGUGCCAGCAGCCGCGGUAAUACGGAGGGUGCAAGCGUUGUCCGGAAUCAUUGGGCGUAAAGAGUUCGUAGGCGGUAUGUUAAGUCUGGUGUUAAAUGCAGAAGCUCAACUUCUGUUCGGCACUGGAUACUGGCAAACUAGAAUGCGGUAGAGGUAAAGGGAAUUCCUGGUGUAGCGGUGAAAUGCUUAGAUAUCAGGAGGAACAUCGGUGGCGUAAGCGCUUUACUGGGCCGUAAUUGACGCUGAGGAACGAAAGCCAGGGUAGCAAAUGGGAUUAGAUACCCUGGUAGUC
rnacentral:rRNA from 1 species